ensembl:rRNA 5S_rRNA 5S ribosomal RNA
GUCUACAGCCAUGUAACCCCAAAAGCACCCAAUCUCAUCUCAUCUUGGAAGCCAAGCAGGGUCGGGUCUGGUUACUACUUGGGUUGGGGUAUCCAUUUGAACUAGUCCAGUGCCUUUUACC